rnacentral:rRNA from 1 species
CCUACGGGAGGCAGCAGUGAGGAAUAUUGGUCAAUGGACGAGAGGCUGAACCAGCCAAGUCGCGUGAAGGAUGACGGCCCUAUGGGUUGUAAACUUCUUUUAUAAAGGAAUAAAAGGAGCCACGUGUGCCUUUUUGCGUGUACUUUAUGAAUAAGCAUCGGCUAACUCCGUGCCAGCAGCCGCGGUAAUACGGAGGAUCCGGGCGUUAUCCGGAUUUAUUGGGUUUAAAGGGAGCGUAGGUGGGAUGUUAAGUCAGUUGUUAAAGUUUGGGGCUCAACCCUAAAAUUGCAGUUGAUACUGGCGGUCUUGAGUACGGUUGAGGUAGGCGGAAUUCGUGGUGUAGCGGUGAAAUGCUUAGAUAUCACGAAGAACCCCGAUUGCGAAGGCAGCAUACUGGCCCCUGACUGACGCUGAAGCACGAAAGUGUGGGUAUCGAACAGGAUUAGAUACCCGGGUAGUC